GGAAUGGCUGACCAAUAAAGGACAAUUUAGCACUGAUGAGAAAAUUGGGUAGAGCUGGUUGCCCAGAUUUGAAGACAGGUCUUCAGUGCCCUACACUGAAGCUUUAAUUUAUGAAGUGUUUAACAUGCAUCUUACGUGCCUUUCAUGAUUCCUCAUUGAAAAUUAUAGAAGAACCCAGGUUUGUUUAGCCCUGAAAGAUUUCUUGAUGACAACAGACAAGAAAUCAAGAACCUAGCUGAAAAGUAAUGAUCUUCAGGAUUGGCAAGAGGAGGUGUCUGGAAGAAAGCUUUGCUCACAUGGAAAUAUUCAUUUUCCUAACAAUGUUACUACAUUGACUGGACAUCAAGCAUCUGAAAGGCCAGAAAAUAGAUCUAGAUCUACUAUUUUGAACUAACUAUGAAACCUAAACAGUUUUAAAUUGCCAUCUCUCUACACAUACAUUUCAAGUACAUUUUGGUCCCAAAUUUUGAAUCAGAGACAUACCCAUUUUAAAAACCUGGGCCUUCAUAAACAAUAGGGGGAUUUUAACAAUUGUUUUUAAAAAAAGGACUUAAAUCAGGGCUUGUGUACACAGAGCAGCAAAGUGGGUGUGAUUUCUAAAGCACACUAACAUGUUGUGUGUUAAUUGGUAUGUGUAGACCCUGAUGGUUCCCUAGUGUACUUGAAUUUAGUGCUGUUUCAAACACUACUACAUGAAAGCACACUAGGAAUCCUUAAUGCACACCACCAGGGUCUACAUGGACCAAUUAAUGCACAACUUGUUAGAGUGCCUUAGAAAUCACACCCCAUAGUGCGCAUUGCUGCUCUCUGUGGACAAGCUAAGCAUAUAAGUAAGUAUUUGCAGGUUCAGGACCUAUAUUAGUAAUCAAGCAGUUACUGCCUGGCUAGUAUUUAUGGUAAUUUUCUGAGAUUUAUACAGAGCAGUAUCAGUUGUGCAACCUUUCAACCCUUAGUUGUGUACUACUUAGAUGGGAGUCAUUAGCACAAUCAACUUAUUUCCCCUCUCUACCAUUGGUUGCUAGACUCUCUGUUCCAUCUAAUACAGGGGAUAAAAGGAAUGGAUAUGUUCAGCCUGACUAUAUUUUUAUGCAUAUUCUGUUUUAGUGUAAAUUCAUUGAUUUCAAUAAAGUCAUUCCUAGUCUACACCUGCAUAGUGAGGAGAGAUUCAAGAUAGAUGUUUUUUAUGUUACACUUCACAGUAUGCCAAAUUAAUCUUCCUCUUUUAUGCUGUGCUGUUCAACAUUCACAAAUGAGAUCUACCCACUUCACCAUUUUCCCAUUACCCUGUCAAAAACUGAAAUAAUCCCUUAGAUCUGGAUGUAAUUUACUGGGGCAUAGCCAUAGAUACAUUGUGCUGAUGUAGAAACUCAAAGCAAGUCCCCUCCACUUAACUUUGAAGUCCGUCUUCCACAGGCCCUGCCUUCUUUCGCCACCCACCCAAAAUAUCCAUCUGAUCCCUAACCACCCUCUCCUUACUUUCCUCCACACCAGUCCCUGGUUCUGCUCCUGUCCUUGUCACCCUAUUUACUCAUGUGAAUAGACCCACUGAGAUCAAUGGAAUAACUCAUGGUAGUAAAAUUAAGCUUAAGUGUAUGUGUUUGCAGGAUCAGGGAUAUAAUUAGGUGUGGAGAUUUGUGAUGAAAGAACCAAAAUUUCAGGCUUGUCCAAUGUAGCAUACAUGAUGUCCAUACUGAUUGGACAAAAUGACCAGUCUGAAAGGUGUUUAAAUAAUAGCCUUGCGUCAACAGCUAUUAUUAAUAGUACAGACAAAGACAGUGGAAUAACAACAUUCAGUAAGUAUUAUGUUGACAUUAAGCACUGAAAUAGCUUGUGAACCAAUUAUUUUUACUAUCAUGUAUAAAGUGGAAGGCAAUAA